GCGGCUAUAGGUUAAUGGUAGACUCGUCGAUUUCCACUCGAUAUGUGUCAGUUCAAAUCUGACUAGCCGUA
rnacentral:tRNA from 1 species